GGGUUUGGGAGGAGAAACAAGGCAGAGCGGUCUGGCUGGCGGCUGAAAGGGCAGCUCACGGCAGGGAGAGCAGGUUGGGCGAGCUCUGGGGGCAGUCGGGGCCGGCACGGAGUCGAGGCGGGGUCUGCGGGCUCGUCUUGUGUCUGCGAAGCGGGGAGCCGCCCAGCUAGGCGAGCAGGGGAUAAAAGUCGGGCCGGUGCAGGCGCGCCCCCUCCCUCCAGCACAUCGGACAGGGAGGGCUCAAACCGGCUGCCUGGGACUGACAGUUUCCUUGUAGCCCAAAUCUGUGUUCUUCUCUCAUUAUGACUUGGGCCACCAGUCCCUGAAACUGAAAGGAAUAUGGUGCAGAAGACGAUGUGUUCCAUUGGAAAUGUAAUGGGUCUGGAGUAAGGAGGACUUAGAUUUGAAUUCUGUUUUUUGAUACCUGUGUGGAGGGCAAUUCACAAUGUCCAUGGGCCUCAGGUUCCUGAUAUAUAAUAUUAAAGAGUUAGACAGAUAACUAAUAUCCCUCCAUGCCUGAGUUUAUGAUCCAAUGACUUAGUAAAAAUUCCCUAGAAGUUGUGUAAAAUUUAUAUUAUACUUGAUUGUUUGUUGUUAUAGAAUAGUGAAUUUAGAGCUUUCUUCAUUUUACAGAUCAUGAAACCAAGGGCCAGAGAUAGGAAUAGACUUGCCCAAGGUACCAAGGGCUGUCAAUGAGAGAUCUAGAAAGGAUUUCUUUUUAGGUUCUCUGGCUUCAAAUCCACUUCUUUUCAGUGUGCCAUACUGCCCUGUCUAGGGCAGCUGCCUAUCGUGGGGCCUGAAGUCAGAAAGACUCACCUUUGUGAGUUUAAAUCUGGCCUCAGACACUUAACUAGCUGUGUGACCCUGGACAAUUCACUUAACCCUGUUUGCCUCAGUUCCUUGCCUGUAAAACCACUGGAGAAGAAAAUGACAAGCCAUUCCAGUAUCUCUGCCAAGAAAACCCAAAUGAGGUCACAGAGAGUAAAAUGAUUUAACAACAAAAAUACUGUUUCUUCAGACUUUCAAAGCUUUAUGACUAAGUAAAACCCACUUGACUUUCCAUAUUGCAAUUCAUUAUUUUUUUUAAACAUCUUAAUGUAGGGUAAAAAAAAUUUCCAUGGUAAGUGUCCAUAUAUUGCUUAUUUCAGAAGGAAAAUCAUUCUAUUUUAGUAAUCGUUUAUUGUCCUCCAAAGCAGAUUUUUCAAAGCUCUAUCAAUGUGUUCUGAAUUUAUCUGUCAAAAACUGUUGUAAUUCCAGUUAAUAAUGCUUUAUUAUAUGGUUCCAUUUUUCUCCUUCCUGAGCCCUUGAAGGAGUGUUUUUGAAAUUAGCUGUUUAACCCUCUUACAUACAUUUUGAUUUCCUCUUAAAGAAAAAUAAAAGCAGAAGCAGCUUUGUUUCUUGCA
rnacentral:lncRNA from 1 species